UUCAUGAUAUGCACUAAAAAUACAAGAUUGGUGGUCUCUUACUACAUUAAUCUUUUCUUUAAUAGAU
rnacentral:tRNA from 1 species